CACCGGCUCCUGGUACACCUUUGCAGAGGUGGCUGGUUGCUCUUUGAGCCAGCUUGUCCUUGCCCGGCAUGCACAAGUUUCAGUGCAACAACUUUGCCACAAAUGGAGCCAUAUAGAGGAAAGAAAAAGCAGGUUCAGGAGAAGGGUGUACCCUGCCUUUGGGGCUCCAGUCCAUGCCUCAGGUGUCACAUGGCACUGCAGGCUUCUUGGUUGCCAAGAGGCAGACCACAGGCCAUCUUGGGGAGGACUUUAUAUUCAAGUGCAGAAAGCAGCCAGGAUUACCAUCCAGGGGGACCUUCUAUAGCCCUGGCCAGACCUUGCAGAGGUGUCUGGUUGCUCUUUGAGCCAGCUUGGCCUCCCUGGCAUGCACAGGCCCCAGGUACUAACACACUGCUCCGAGUGUGCUUGUCCUGCCUUGGCUGCCACCUAAUUCCUGAUGGAGCAGUGGCCUUAGGAAAAGCAGAUGGCACUGUGGCCCACCUUUAGGGUAGAAGUGAUGUACCAUGUCUGGCCAUUAGUUGGUGACUGGUG
rnacentral:lncRNA from 1 species